ensembl:Mt_tRNA
GGUAAAAUGGCUGAGUAGGCAUUAGACUGUAAAUCUAACCACAGAGAGUAAUCUCUUUUUGCCA